CAGUCUCAGUUCGGAUUGAAGGCUGAAAUUCGCCUUCAUGAAGCCGGAAUUGCUAGUAAUGGCAGGUCAGCAUACUGCCGUGAAUACGUUCCCGGGCCUUGUACACACCGCCCGUCACACCAUGAGAGUUGGGGAUACCCGAAGCCUGUGAGCUAACAGUAAUGAAGCAGCAGUCGAAGGUAGAAUCAAUGAUUGGGGUGAAGUCGUAACAAGGUAGC
rnacentral:rRNA from 1 species